AAUGAACGUUGGCGGCGUGGAUUAGGCAUGCGAGUCGUACGAGAACCCGCAAGGGGGAAAGUGGCGAACGGGGUAGUAAUGCGUAGGUGACGUGCUCUAUGGUCGGGGAUAGCUUAGGGAAACUUAAGGUAAUACUCGAUAAUCCCGGGAGGUUUGAAGACCAUCCGGGCAAAGGUGUGAUUCCAUCAUAGGAGCGGCUUGCGUGGUAUUAGCUAGUUGGUGAGGUAACGGCUCACCAAGGCUGCGAUGCCUAGGGGAUGUUAGCGCAUGAUCCCCACCACUGGGACUGAGAUACUGCCCAGACACCUACGGGUGGCUGCAGUUGAGAAUCUUCGGCAAUGGGCGAAAGCCUGACCGAGCGACGCCGCGUGUGGGAUGAAGGCCCUUGGGUUGUAAACCACUGUCAGAGGGGAUGAAAUGCACGAGAGCUAUCUCUUGUGUUUGACAUAGCCUCAGAGGAAGCACGGGCUAAGUUCGUGCCAGCAGCCGCGGUAA
rnacentral:rRNA from 1 species